GAUGAACGCUGGCGGCGUGCCUAAUACAUGCAAGUCGAGCGAACGGACGAGAAGCUUGCUUCUCUGAUGUUAGCGGCGGACGGGUGAGUAACACGUGGAUAACCUACCUAUAAGACUGGGAUAACUUCGGGAAACCGGAGCUAAUACCGUAUAAUAUUUUGAACCGCAUGGUUCAAAAGUGAAAGACGGUCUUGCUGGCUCUUAUAGAUGGAUCCGCGCUGCAUUAGCUAGUUGGUAAGGUAACGGCUUACCAAGGCAACGAUGCAUAGCCGACGGGAGAGGGGGAUCGGCCACACUGGAGGUGAGACGCGGUCAAGACUACUACGGGAGGCAGCAGUAGGGAAUCUGCCGCAAUGGGCGAAAGCAUGACGGAGCAACGCCGCGUGAGUGAUGAAAGCCUUCGGUGCGUAAAGCUCUGUUAUUAGGGAAGAACAUAUGUGUAAGGAACUGUGCCGAGCUUGACGGUACCUAAUCAGAAAGUCACGGCUAACUACGUG
rnacentral:rRNA from 1 species